CGAAUUUUUUUUUCAGUCUCGUGUCUCUGCAGGAAUUUUUUUUUAAUGCAUUUAACCUCUGCACGAAUUUUUUUCAAGACUAUUUGUACUUCGCUGUUUGCUUGCACGAUUUUUUUUUCUCUGACGUAAUGGCUGCACGAAUUUUUUUCCAGGCAUUUUCCUUUGCACGAAUUUUUUUGGGGGAAUUUUCACCCCCCCCCCCUCCCGGGAUUUCUAAUGGUCCGCCCCUUAGACCUAAAUGCUUUCUGCCAAUCGUACAGAUUUAGCUAAGUUAGUUUUAUAGGUCUAGGCUUGUUUACUUGAAGAAAUAAAAGCUUUUGA
rnacentral:lncRNA from 1 species